UGGGCGCUGGUGCAAUGGAAGCACGCCAUUCUACGGGAAUGGCCCUGUGGGUUCGAGUCCCACCCGCCCUGCC
rnacentral:tRNA from 1 species